rnacentral:rRNA from 1 species
UAAUUGAAGAGUUUGAUCAUGGCUCAGAUUGAACGCUGGCGGCAGGCCUAACACAUGCAAGUCGAGCGGUAACAGGGGAAGCUUGCUUCUCGCUGACGAGCGGCGGACGGGUGAGUAAUGUAUGGGGAUCUGCCCGAUAGAGGGGGAUAACUACUGGAAACGGUAGCUAAUACCGCAUAAUCUCUCAGGAGCAAAGCAGGGGAACUUCGGUCCUUGCGCUAUCGGAUGAACCCAUAUGGGAUUAGCUAGUAGGUGAGGUAAUGGCUCACCUAGGCGACGAUCCCUAGCUGGUC